rnacentral:rRNA from 1 species
UACGUAGGGGGCAAGCGUUGUCCGGAUUUAUUGGGCGUAAAGAGCGUGUAGGCGGCCAUACAGGUCAGCUGUGAAAACUCGAGGCUCAACCUCGAGACGUCGGUUGAAACCGUAUGGCUAGAGUCCGGAAGAGGAGAGUGGAAUUCCCGGUGUAGCGGUGAAAUGCGCAGAUAUCGGGAAGAACACCGGUGGCGAAGGCGGGUCUACUGGGCCGUAACUGACGCUGAGGAGCGAAAGCAUGGGGAGC